UAUAUCAUCUGUUGUGGCUGUAUUGGAACUCAAACAUAGUAUCUUGUACAAGUUUCCAUCACUUUUUGUGGAUCUGCAUGUAACUGAAAACUGUUUUGUACGAGGUUGUCUUUGAUGAUUAUGAUGAUGUUUGUAUGGUUUUGAAAUGUUGAUUAGGCUUGAACUUGAGCUUGAGUUUAGGGAUAGUAAAACAUCCAUUUUGCUUAUUGUUUGUCUCUGCUUUUGAGAAUGCAUGCGGGUGUUCUCUUAUUUAUAGAUAGAAGAAUGUUAUUUCAAAUCGUCUUACUAUGUUAACUUUUUCUUUAACAUAUAAAUAAGUUAUUUUGAAAUAAAUAUUAUUCUUAAUUUUUAUAUUUUUUAAAUUAAUAUUGUAUGCACGGUACAUUUUAUGCUUAUGAUAAAGAAAAAUUUAUUGAUAGUUGAAACAUUCUUUAAAAUUCUAAGUGAUGAAGAGGUAUAAAAUAUAUUUCCAUAUUACAGAAAUUAUAAAUGAGCUUGAAAUUACAGAAAUUAUAAAUGAGUUUAAAAGUAGAGUAAGACAAGUGGCGGAGCUGACACAACGAUGUCCAUUGAGGAUGCAGUGGAAGCGCAAAAUAAGAUGUGCGUUGAAGGCGGCGCAGAGUGAGGUUGGCAGCGGAGUCAACCCAACGGGAGGCUGGCGAAGGAGCCUGCACAGUGGUCGCUGUCGACGAUGCGACAAAAAUUCUGGGUCGGUAGGCAAUUUGGUCUAUCAAAGUUCAGGUUCCAUUUUCUUUGCUCGCGUGGAUUGGAGUUAAAUAUUUUGUCUCGUGGAUCCAUUUGUUAAUGGAUUAUACAUUGAGCUUUUUAUGGAACUGUUAGAUUUCAGUAGUUAUAAACGUGUAUCUUUAUCAUUCUUAGCUUUACAACAUUUAGAACCAUAGAGCUGAAAAUAGAGAUAAGAGUUUGUGAAUCUCAGUGGUAAUCUUAGAGAGAGACAAUGGUAAAUUCUUAAGAGUGUGUUCUUGCAAUUUGGGAAACUCUUUAAGAUAUCAAAGGGGAUUGAGAAAUAUUUCUAAACACCUUGGAUUUGUGUGACUCAUAUAUAACGUUGGAGAGAUUGAGAAAUACUUAGGUAUAAAAUAUGGUUUGUUCUUGAGAAGUUAGGUGGCUCUUUUCUCACAACUCAUUUGUAGUCUUUUGUAACAACACUUGUAAGUAUGGUGAAUCGGAGAUCCACUUUAUCCUCUAGAGUAUGCAGUUUGAUCGAACUAGGUAAGCGAAUUGUUGUGUUUCUGGUAUUUUAUCUUCUUUUCCCGAGUUAAGUUGUUGUCUUAUUGCAUAAAGGUUAUUUUUUAUGUGAAAUUAUCUUCUUUUUCCGAGUUAAGUUGUUGUCUUAUUGCAUAAAGGUUAUUUUUUUUUAUGAAACUCAUUUAUUCUGGUUGUCAUUGUUCUUUGGGUCCACACAUCAAAUUUCUUGGUGUGAUUGAACCUUUGAAUUUUACAACAAGUAACACCCACCGCGGAGAAUUAGAUUUUGUUUACAAUUGAGCACCAUUAGUUCCCAAUGGAUGAUUAAGAUUUUUUUUUGGAAACAACUCUUUUGGAUUAUGGAAAGUGAAGAUGCAAGUAAUUUUAAUUUUAAAAAAAAUGUAUUGAAAUAUUGAAGGAUGAUGUUUCGAUGCCUACACGUCUAACAGAAGCAGAGAAGACUAAGAUAGUGAAUAAAGUAAGAAGUGACAUUAUCUUAUAUCCUAAAGAUAAAGUUCUUUAAAAAAUCGUCAGAGAGAAGACUGUGACUUUGGUGUGGGCAAAACAUGAAUCAUUGUAUAUGACAAAGUCUCUGACUCACAGGUUGUGUCCCAAACAACAACUUUACUCAUUUGAAAUGUUAGAGAACAAAUCCAUAGUGGAGCAAUUGACAAAUCAAGGGAAUAUUAAGGUGAAGAUUGAAGAUGAGUACAAGUAUCUACUCUUGUUGAACUCAAUAUCCUUAUCCUUUGAGCACUUUAUGGAUGUCCUUCUUUAUGGUUAGAAAGAUACUAAUACUUUGGAUGAAAUCCAAACGGCUGUGAGAUCCAAAGAAUAUUUAAAGAUGUAAGAUUUAAAUAUUUACGAUAGUGGUGAAGCCUUGAGUAUCUCAAGAGAAAAAUAUCAGCAUAGAGGGAAAGUACAAAUCAAAGUUAAAAUAUUUUAUUCGUCAGAAAUUCAAUCACUUUAAAAGGGAUGGUCCUAAUAAAUAAACAAGAUAAAUAAUAAAUAAAUAAUUGAAAUUACUAAAAUAAAAUAAUUAAAUAAAAAUAUAGAGAAAAGUUAGUUUUUAUUAUAUAUUUAAAAAAUAAAUAAUAAGAUAAAUAUAAAAAAUUAUUAAAUUAACCCAAAUUUUGGCUUCAAAAUUUCCUUCAACCGGUUAACAACUUUUAUAAAUAUCAGAAAUCAUUAAGUUAGCUCUAAUCUUGACCUAAUCACUUAAUAACUUUUAUACAUAAAUAUUUCCAUAAAUCUUUUUGAAUUAGUAAGACAUGGUAUGUAUGUAAAUUUUAUAUAUUAAGAAGAGUGACCCGAACGUAGAAAAUAGCUUCUAUUGUCGUUGAUUAUAUAAUCAUCAAUCUAUUUGGCAAUUAAAAUAUUUUUUAAAUAUAUCCAUGACUAGUAUACAUAAGUGAUUUGAUUAUCAAUGUAAAAUUAUUUUAUAUUGAACAUAUCCAUAACGUGGGGAGUUUAAACUUGAACUUAAAAAAGUGGUGACAAUGACAUCUAACGUAUCAAAGUUUGUUAAAUAUAAGUUGACAUUAUUCAAACAAUUAACAUUAAGAUAAUGUUUCGUAGCUGGAAUGGAAAGAGACAUGCAGCUACAAUUGGCAUUAUGAAUAUAUUGGAUACUACAUAAUUGUUGACCUUCAUGACUAUGUUUUCGGAGAUGAAUCUUAUCAUGGAUCAUGUAGGAUGUUAAAGUGUUAACUUUAUUUAAAAGUGUGCUAACUUUAUUGCCCAACAAAAUAAGUUGGGUAACAUUAUUCUACCUAAUUUUAGGUUUUGUUAAUUCUGUUUUCUAAAAUCAAUCUUAGUGACAAUGUAGGAUAUUUAAAAUUUGCACCCUUAAAAAUAAUCCUGGCAUCCUUCCAAAAUAUUUUUUUACUAUAAUAUUCUUGGUAAAGAAAAAGAAUUUUCAAUAAUAUUAGUUAUUUUUCAAAUCUUUCACAAAAACCGUGUUAAUCAUAAAAAAAACAAUAGAGACUUUUAUAAAAUAUUUACAUGUCAAAUUUCUUAGUUAAAGUUUUGCAAUUUUAUUGGCAUUUUCAUGUUCAUACUGCAUUUUUGAAAAAUCAAUGUAUUUUUACCGGCAUAUUUGAAAUCUACUGUAAAAUUCCAUAAGUCACAUGAAUUUAUAUCGGAGUUUUUGAAAAAUUCAAUAAAUCACCAUGCAUGUUUACUGACAUUUUUGAAAAGUCGGGUAAAAAUGUAUACUGUCUUUUUCUAAAAUCCAGUAAAGUGGUUAUUGGUAAUCAUAGUUUUCAAAAAUUUCAAUAAAGCCAUGUUUUUUCCGAAUGUUUUAAAAACUUUGUAGGUAUUAUUUCUUUGUUUUUUCCUUAUGUAGUGAGGACCAAAGAACGAAACAACAUGAUUGCUUCUAAACAGACUUACAGAGCUGCCAAGAGCUCUUGUCGUGUAGGGGAUAAUGACAGGGAGGAAUCACAUAUCUAGGAGGAUAUAGUAGCCCCCACUUAUUCUCAUAGGAGGAGGAUCAUUGACAAGUUAAGUGCAUCUCGUACAUUCCAGCAUAGAGGCAGGGCCGGUCCAAUCAAUUCAGAGACCAUGUUCUAAUUUUAAAAAUGGGUAUAUAUAUAUAUAUAUAUAUAUAUAUAUAUAUAUAUAUAUAUAUAUAUAUAUAUAUAUAUAUAUAUAUAUAUAUAUAUAUAUAUAUAUAUAUAUAUAUAUAUAUAUAUAUAUAUAUANNNNNNNNNNNNNNNNNNNNNNNNNNNNNNNNNNNNNNNNNNNNNNNNNNNNNNNNNNNNNNNNNNNNNNNNNNNNNNNNNNNNNNNNNNNNNNNNNNNNNNNNNNNNNNNNNNNNNNNNNNNNNNNNNNNNNNNNNNNNNNNNNNNNNNNNNNNNNNNNNNNNNNNNNNNNNNNNNNNNNNNNNNNNNNNNNNNNNNNNNNNNNNNNNNNNNNNNNNNNNNNNNNNNNNNNNNNNNNNNNNNNNNNNNNNNNNNNNNNNNNNNNNNNNNNNNNNNNNNNNNNNNNNNNNNNNNNNNNNNNNNNNNNNNNNNNNNNNNNNNNNNNNNNNNNNNNNNNNNNNNNNNNNNNNNNNNNNNNNNNNNNNNNNNNNNNNNNNNNNNNNNNNNNNNNNNNNNNNNNNNNNNNNNNNNNNNNNNNNNNNNNNNNNNNNNNNNNNNNNNNNNNNNNNNNNNNNNNNNNNNNNNNNNNNNNNNNNNNNNNNNNNNNNNNNNNNNNNNNNAUAUAUAUAUAUAUAUAUAUAUAUAUAUAUAUAUAUAUAUAUAUAUAUAUAUAUAUAUAUAUAUAAUUUUAAUGAUUAAAAAUGACAAACAAAAGAUAAAAUUAUAUAUUAACCAAAUGAAGUACCAAAAAGUUCAAAGGUAUUGUUUAAACUACUAACACCAUUUCUUACAACUUAAAUUAUCUAACUACAUAAAAAGAGUCUUCUUACGAACACCUUUUGAAGCAAAAUUGUCAACUAAGUCUUCAUAUUUUAUUGUCUCCAAAAUAUCAUUUUCAAUAGCUAUUAAUGCCAAUCCAUUAUGCCUUUCUUGUGACAUGGUAGACCGCAAGUAAGUCUUUAACAACUUCAAUUUUGAAAAACUUCUUUCUGCAAAAGAAACUGUCACAGGAAUAGUCAAUAAGAUUCUAUAUGCAAUAACUGUAUUAGGAAAAUAAUCCAAGCCUUUUAAAAAUAAUAAUAUAUCAGUAGGUCUUAUGGUUUCUUCAGGCAACAUUUCUCUUAGUAACUUCAACUCUACAAAGAAUUCAUUCCCAUCAAUAUUAGAUUGCUCAUUAUGUUUCAAUGUCUGCUCAAAGUUAGUACAACAAGACUUCAAAGUUGCAUCAUCUAAUGAUUGUAACUUGUGAGAAGUAAACAAGAAACCAAAAAUACUUUCAUACUCUUGGUAUUUAUUGCUCAAACCUCUUAUUAAGAGAAACAACAGCUUGAUCAACAAGGUAAAGAAAAUAAUUAACCCUGAAUGAUUCUUCUUCUGAUAGCUCGAAUGAUGGGAUAUUCAAAUUCUCAUCAAAUUGCCCUUUUCUUUUAAUUAUACGCCUUUGAGGAAAUAUUGGGGCAAUAUUCAAUUCCACCGCAAUUUCCUUAGCGUUAAUCAAUACCUUAUAAAAACCUAUUUCUCUAUAUCCCUCAAAAUACGAAAUCAAUCCCUUAAUUUUUUGCAUAGCAACAUCAAUAAGCAUAUCCUUUUCCUAUAAAAGCUUGCUAACAAAAUUAAUUGCAGAUAAUAUUUCAAACCAAAUAACUAUAGCCAUCAAAAACUCAAAAUCACCAAGCUCAUUUGUUGCUAAGGAUUUAGCUUCAUUUUGUAUUUUAGGAUCAAGAUCAUUUUCUGACACUUCAAGCAAAACUUCUGUAAAUUCUAACAUUUGAGUUCUUAUAGCUUUGACACUUUCUACACGACUCUACCAACGAGUGGAUGACAAUGAUUUUGGAGUCAACCCUUUUACAUUAUCUUUCAAAAUUUGCCAUCUCUUUGUAGAAUUGACAAAAAUUGUAUAAAUGCGUUGAACAACUCCAAAAAAAAUCCUAGCUUUAAUACAAGAGUUAGCCAUAUCACACAAUGCCAAAUUAAGACUAUGACAACCACAAUGAGUAUAAAAGACUCUCGGAUUUAUGUCUAAAAAUUCUCUUUUGCACACCUUGGUUUUUUCCUUUCAUAUUGGACCCAUUAUCAUAACCUUGCCCUCUCACGUCAAAUAGGUCGAGACCAAGUUCUUUAAAUUCAUUUUGUAAAACAUCAAAAAGCCCCUGACCACUUGUAUCAUUCACAUUCAAAAAUCCUAAAAAUGAUUCUUCAAUACUAACAGAAGCUGAAGAAAUAUCCACAUAUCAUAUUAUCAAAGACAUCUGCUCUUGGUGACUAACAUCAGGAGUACAAUCAAGUAUCACUGAAAAAUACUUUGCCUGUUUGAUUUUUCUAAUGAUUUCAAUUUUAAUCGCAGAACCAAGCAAUGAAAUCUUGAAAAAUACUUUGCCUGUUUGAUUUUUCUAAUGAUUUCAAUUUUAAUCGCAGAACCAAGCAAUGAAAUCAACUCAUUCUGUAUGUUAUGCCCAAGAUAAUGAAUAUGAACUUUUUGAGUUGUAACAUGUCUAACAUGUUCUUGGAUGAUUGGGUCAAAUUCAGCUAACAUUUCAAUCAAACCCAAAAAGUUUCCAUUGCUAUCUUCGUACAAUUUCUCCUUAGAACCACGAAAGACUAAAUUAUGUUUAGCAAGAAAUUUUACUAUUGGAAUAACUCUUUUUAAAAUAUUUUUUCAGUGAUCCUUUUCUUUCUCAAUUAAUCUUUGAGUUGAUUUAUCAAUAGUUUGAAAUUUUUGCAGCCUUUUGCGAUACUCAUACCAAGUAGUCAUAUUUUUAACAUGUUCCAUGCCUAACUGGUUAUUGGUUAAUUCUUUCACCAACAUGUACCCAAUCAAUAUAACCCUCAUUUGCUAAUUGUCCCCUAACAAUCCCAUUUUUAAAAACUUUACAACAAAAACAAAAUACUCUAUCAAGCUCUUUCGAAUAAACAAGCCAAUCUCUAUCACACACCUCUCCAUUUGCUAAAGCUAUAGUAUACAAAUUAGCCNUAAAGCUAUAAGUAUACAAUUAGCCAUAAAACGUCUAUUCAAACUAUCUCUAUGACCCUUCACAAUAGAAUUAUCUCUUUUAGGAUCUUUCACAACUAAUAAAUCAAUCCGUUUAGGUUGCAGAGCGAUCCCAAUUUCUUGGAUCAAAUAUAUCAUAAUAACAUUAUCAUCAUCAUCAUCAUCAUCGACAUCAUCAUCAUUAUUAACUUCAUCAACAAUUGGCACACUAUCAAGAUUAUCAUUUUCAAUGGGCACACUAUUAAGAUAUCAUUUUCAAUGGACACACUAUCAAGAUUAUCAUUUUCAAUAAGUACACUAUCAAGAUUAUCAUUUUCAAUAGGCAAACUAUCAAUAUUAUCAACAUAACGACUUUCAUUUGAAACUUGUGGUUCUUUGAUUAAAAAUUUAGCAAGAGCUCCUACUUGAGAUUGAAUUAACUCUUCAAUUUUUUUUUUUUCUUACGUUUAUCAUUUUCACAUUCAAAUUUUCUAUUCUUAGGAGGCAUCUUAGGAGGCAUAAUAAGAAAAACCUGAAAUUUCUCACAUGUCUUUUGUGUCCGUCGAUGAUCUACUAAUUAUCCUGUUGUGAAUUGUGUUCCUACAUCAAUACAAAAAAACAAUUACAUUAAAUAAAAGAAAUUAUAAAUUAAUCAUAAAAAAAUAUUAAUAAUUAAAUUCAUGGAGAAAAGACUUUAAUUAAUAUUCAAUUAUAUUUUAUUAUGUUGUGUUCUUCUCAAUUAUGUACCAUAAAAAAUUAAUAAUAUAAAAGAAAAUUAUAAAUUAAUAGUAGAAAAUAAAUUACAUUUAAUUAAAUAAAUUAUAAAUUAAUCAUAAAAAAUAUCAACACUAAUACAUACUAAUUUUUCUUCGAAAGAUUCCAAAUUGCAAUUUGGUCUUAUGAGAAAAAGUAGGUAUAAAAAUUGUCACCAACACCAACAAUAUUCUUGUUUUGAAUUUUGAUACUACUGAUAGUAUAUACACUAUACUAGUAUCACAUUUCAUCCUAAAAUUAUUUAUUUAUAUAUUAUAAUUUUAUAAAGAACACAGUUACCCUCAUUUCCACCCUAAAAUCUAAAAUCUAAAAUCUAAAAUCUAAAAUCAAAUAUGAUACAGGAACUAAAAAGAUUUCACCCUAAAAUUUAAAAUAAAUCUAAAAUUACUAUUUUUCUACUUCAAAAUCAAAUAAUCACAAUAAAAUAAAUGGAAAGUAACUAAUUGAAUAAACUAACAUGAUAAAGAGAGGAUGAAAAGGAAAAAUAAGAUUUUUUCUGGUUUCAAACAACUCUAACAGAGAAAGAGAGAAAGAGAUAACGUUUGAGAGGAGAGAUAAGAAACGUGAUGAGAAAGGAGAAAAAAAACGUUUGGUUUCCAAAUAUCCUAUUUUUCAGAUUUAAUAUUUUAUUUAUUAUAUGUGAUACAAAAAUAUUUUUAUUAUUAAUUUUUUAUAUUCACUAAUAAUAGUUAUUUGAGGCCCCACAAAAGUGAGGCCCUGAGCUACUGCACAACUUGCACAGGAAAAGAACCGGCCCUGCAUAGAGGAGGUAGAGCUGGACGGGACAUAGAUUUUGAUGCAGAGCCCGAUGCUUAGAAGGAUAUAGAGACUCGGGCUAAGGCUCAGUCUGACAUUGAAGUGAAGGCCAGACUACGUUAAGAGGGGGGACCGACAUAGCAUCAAGAAUGAAAUGUCUGGUAAAAUGUACACAUGCGAUUAUGUGUUUUCUAAAAUUCUGGUUAAUGUAUUUUAUCGAUUAUUCAAAAACUUCGGUAACAUUUUUCAUAAUGUUUUAAAACUUGCUAGGUCUUAUUUAUUUUGUUUUUCUUUACGUAGUAAUGACCUGAGACGAAUUGCAUGAUUGCUUAUAGACGGACUGACAGAGCUGCAAAUAGCUCUUGUCGUGUAGGGGAUAAUGAGAAAUAUGAAUCACAUAUCUGGGAGGGUAAAUAGUCCUCACUUAUUCUCGUAGGAGUAGGAUGGUGAGAAGUUACGUGCACCCGUACUCUCCAGCAUUGAGGAGUAGAGCGUGACGAGGCAUAAAUUUUGAAGUAAAGCCCGAUGCUCAUAAGGAUAUAGAGACUCCUAUUCUUAAUUAAUCGCAUAUGGCGGCAUGCAUCUCUAUCUAGGGAGAGCAUGUGUGGUGGGUCUAGCGUAGCAAGCUCCUUGUCUAAGCCAAGGGUGCGACCUAUGGAGGUAAUCCCUCCUCCAAAUGAAAUGGGCCCUUCUCUACGGUGCAAACCGCUUGCAUUGUGGACCAACAUGAAAGGGUUUCUUCCCAUGCAGCGCUUUGUUUAAUGUCGAUAGCUCGACAAAACUAGUUAUAAAUAGAUGAAAUAAUCAAUAAUUUUUUAAGAAAUAAAUCAAUCAUUCAAAGACUUUCAAGUUUGAAGGGGGAAAUGGUGUACAAGUUCACUCAGAAUAAUUAUUCCUUAAACUCAUUAGGUCCCUCUCACCUCACUAACCUCUAUUAUCUAGCAAGUUAUAUCUACGAAUAGAGAGUUAGGUGAGCUACUUGAUUGCGUAGGCCUAAGGCUAAAGCAAUAUGAAUGAAAGUUCCGCCUCUGUUUGGUGUAAUUUUCAAUUUCACAAAAUAUCCGAUAUAAUUAUUUUAUUGAAAUAUAUUUGUAUAUUAAGGGUAAUAGAUAGUUUUGGUUUUUGAAAAUGAAUACAAAUAUAAUGUUAGAUUGAUAUGACUAGUAAAAUAGUCAAAAUAAAAAAGGGAAGUCAAAAAUUGAAAGAAGAAAAGGAAAUAGGGACAGAGUUGGAAUAUGGUAUAAAAUUUUGAGCAUUCAUUCUAUAAGAAAAUAAUCACAAGCAAUGUGAAAAAACUAGAUUAAUAUUAUUAAUGCCCUCAUUCUACAACCCCAUGAUGAUGCACUACCCUUACCUGUAUCAGAUCUUCUAUUCAAUUCAACAACUUGUUCCAUCCAUUUACUUCUUCUCAAAUUACCCAACCAAACAACUCUGAAUCAUACUCUUCUUUAAGCUUUGGAUUCGACAACGUCUUAUAAGCUCCAUUAACUUGUACAAGAUUUGGUUCUGCAUCUAUACAUUGUGUUUUGAUGAUUAACAAUGUUGUAUUGUUGGAACAGGUUUUGGUACCCUAAUGGUUUGUUAUUGCGUUCCAAAUCCGCUUAUGCGCUGCAAUUAGAAGUUCUGAAAGACGUCAAUAUUGUUGUUGCAAUGUUCUUUCUGCUUCUGUGUUAUUUCAGCCAUCAUAAGCUUUUGAGGAGACUCUUUAUUGUUGCUGCGAUGUUCUCUCAGUUCUUGCUUCUCGACGUGACUCUGAGCACCAACUUCUGAAGAAUGGGAAAACUUCUGAAGUUGGAUUAUGUAGCUGAAGUUUCUGAAAUCUCAAUACAGACGAUUAAAGUUAUCAAGGUCUGACUAAGGAUUCUCUAAGUUUACUGAAGAUUUGAAGAUACUGAGAACUCAAGCCAGACUACUGACGCUGUCAAGUUCUGACCAAGAUUCUGAAGUUUUUGAAUCUAGCUCUCUACUUCUUCACUUCAUGCUUCAAUCAUCUUUUAUAAAGCCAAUGAAUCUGAAGAUAAGUUCAAAUGGGAAUGUGAUCAAAUAGUACAUGGUACAAAAUCGAACAAUCUUUCGACUACCUGAUUUCGUGGGCAAGGAUUGUACUAUUCAUCACACCUGUCACUGCUUUUGUGGCGAAAGGAUAGUACGUUUAUCAUUCGUUUCCCAUCCAACAAUGGACAGGCUGCUCAAGGAACUUCUCCCAUUUUCCCCUUCAACGGUCACAUGCUUUGCUAUAUAAGCAUGCAUUGGAGACUUGAAGAAAAUGCUUAUUUUGCACAAGUAUUUGACAAGUUAUAUAUCUUUGUGGAAAACUAUCAUUCUUUGUAUACAGUUUCUUUAAGUAUUUUUUUAUUCAUUUGUGUAAAAUCUGAUUGUGUAGAAGCAUCUUGUAACACACAAACUAUUAGUCAAACUAUUUAUUUGAUUCCUUAAGGAGGUUAUCCUUGAGAAGACAAAGAAAGUUAUUCUUUGUGAGUCCUGAGGAGACUAAGGUUUAGUUGGAUCCUUGAGAAGACAAAAACUUGUUAGUGGUAUUUUUGUUUUGGAAAAAAUCUUUGCUUUUAAAACCCAUUCAAACCCCCAACUUCUUAUGUUUUUCACACCUUCAGUAGUGCUCUCACCCCUUGACAAGUCAAAUUUUUGGAAUUUUGGGACUCGUUUUCCACCAAAAUUCUAAAAAUUCCCUACUCUUCAUGAUCAUUUUCCUUUCGAUUCUUGUCCUUCUCAUUGAAACAAGCUUGCAAAGCAAUCUCCGCCUUUGUCUUAUCAGAAUUUCUCUCCUCCAUCCUUUGCUCAUGGCCUUUAGAGAGCUUUUCAACUCCUCUUUGUUAUUGUCGCAGGAUCCUUCGAUUCCUCAAUCGCCAUAACAAAACUGUCAAACCUUGGUGUUAAAGAAUACAAGAUUUUUGCGACAACAUACUGCUUCGUAACGUUUCUCCACAUGACUUCCUUAUUCACCAACCGAUUGAUACUCAGUUGUGAAUCAUUGAUUGUCUCCUUUUAUUCCAUUUGAAUCAAUUUGAUUAAGCUUGUGAGUUUGUAACCUCACUACAUUUGCCUUAUCAUCCCCUGCAUAGGCCCUUCUCUAAGAUCUUCCAUGCUUGCAUUGACGAUUCGCAAUCACCAACUUCUCAAAGUUGUUCACCAUCCACACAUUGAUGGAUCAAAAACAGCGCCUUGAAAUCUUUCUUCUUCUUUUCCUUACAUGUUGCUUGUUAUGCAUCCGUUGCCACAGCGACAAGAGGAUUCACCCAUUCUUGAUCACUUUAAGAAUAUCUGUAGCCAAACAACACUUUCAUUUCUUGCACAAUUGUCAUAAUUCUUCACAUCAAUGAUAGGUAGGUUUCAUGGAUCUCUUUAUUGGAAACAUAAUUCAUGUUGCACACUAGGUGUUUUGGAUCAGACCAGACUCUUGAUGCCAAAUAUUGGAACUUUGAACACAAGGUUGAGUGAACAAUGAUGGAGAAAUUUGGAAUGGGUAUAGUGAAAGGAAAAUUGAGAGAGAGGAGAGAGAAUAAUAAUUUGCAUUACUUUGGAUGAGAAUGCAGCCCACAUCUUUAAACAAGUAUUACAAUAUGAUUGUGACUAAAAAACAAACAAUUGCAUAACAGAAAAAGUGCAAAACUCAGACAUGUAACCAUUAUACCAAUUGGUUAACCGGAUAACACUGACAAAUGAAUUAAACUAGCUUCAGUGGUAACGCGUUAACAUCUUGAGAUUAGCCGGAUACAACUUCAAAAUCUUCACUUUUUUGCUUCAUCAGAAGUGCCUAUGACUUUGCUGUAACCGGUUACACCCUUUGUUAACCGAUUACAACACUUGAAAUUGCCAAUAUAACCUUUAUGAGAGUUAUUUUUAUAAAAAACUAUUAAUUUUGAUUGUUGUUGUGUUUUCCUCACAUAUCAAAUUAUAUAUAUAUUUUGUAAUCUUUCAAUUUCACAAAAUAUCCAAUUAAUUAUUUAUUGAAAUAUUUUGUAUAUUAAGGGUAAUAGAUUGUUUUGGUUUUUGAAAACAAAUAGAAAAUCUAAUGUUUAAAUUUAUAUGAAUAGUAAAAUAUGUCGAAAUAAAAAAGUGAAAGGAGAAAAGGAAAUAGGGGAUUAGAGAGAUGGGAAAAAGAUCCAAACAUAAAAAGAAGAAAUAAACUUUAUGAGUGAGUUUGUGGCGGUUCCAAAGCAUGAGAGGGAUGCUGGGGUGGUUUUGAGACAGAGUUGGAAUAUGGUGUAAAGUUUGAGUGUUCAUUCUACAAGAAAAACAAACAAGAGAAAUAAUCACAAGUAAUUGAAAAUAGUUACUAUUAUUCCUGGCCCUCAUUCUAGAACCCCAUGAUGAUGUUAUGCCCACUCUUACCUGUUUAGAAUUCUAUUCCAAAACUACACAACUUGUCCUCAUCCAUACUUCUUCUCAAUUACCCAAACCAAACAACUCUGAAUCAUACUCUUCUUUAAGCUUUGGAUUCGAAUCUCUCUUUAGGAGGCAUCUUAGGAGGCAUAAUAAGAAAAACCUGAAAUUUCUCACAAUGUCUUUUGUGUCCGUCGAUGAUCUACUAAUUAUCCUGUUGUGAAAUUGUGUUCCUACAUCAAUAACAAAAAAAAACAAUUACAUUAAAUAAAAGAAAUUAUAAAUUAAUCAUAAAAAAAUAUUAAUAAUUAAAUCAUGGAGAAAAGACUUUAAUUAAUAUUCAAUUAUAUUUUAUUAUGUUGUGUUCUUCUCUAAUAUUGUACCAUAAAAAAUUAAUAAUUAUAAAUUAAAAGAAAAUUAUAAAUUAAUAGUAAGAAAAUAAAUUACAUUUAAUUAAAUAAAUUAUAAAUUAAUCAUAAAAAAUAUCAACACUAAUACAUACUAAUUUUUCUUCGAAAGAUUCCAAAUUGCAAUUUGGUCUUAUGAGAAAAAGUAGGUAUAAAAAUUGUCACCAACACCAACAAUAUUCUUGUUUUGAAUUUUGAUACUACUGAGUAGUAUAUACACUAUACUAGUAUCACAUUUCAUCCUAAAAUUUUAUUUAUUUAUAUAUUAUAAUUUUAUAAAGAACACAGGUUACCCUCAUUUCCACCCUAAAAUCUAAAAUCUAAAAUCUAAAAUCUAAAAUCAAUAUUGAUACAGGAACUAAAAUAGGAUUUCACCCUAAAAUUUAAAAUAAAUCUAAAAUUACUAUUUUUUCUACCUUCAAAAUCAAAUAAUCACAAUAAAAANCUAAAAUCUAAAAUCAAUAUUGAUACAGGAACUAAAAUAGGAUUUCACCCUAAAAUUUAAAAUAAAUCUAAAAUUACUAUUUUUUCUACCUUCAAAAUCAAAUAAUCACAAUAAAAAUAAAUGGAAAGUAACUAAUUGAAUAAACUAACAUGAUAAAAGAGAGGAUUGAAAAGGAAAAAUAAGAUUUUUUUCUGGUUUCAAACAACUCUAACAGAGAAAGAGAGAAGAGAAUAACGUUUGAGAGGAGAGAUAAGUGAGAACGUGUGAGAAAGGAGAAAAAAAAACGUUUGGUUUCCAAAUAUCCUAUUUUUCAGCAUUUAAUAUUUUAUUUAUUAUAUGUGAUACAAAAAUAUUUUUAUUUAUUAAUUUUUUAUAUUCACUAAUAAUAGUUAAUUUGAGGCCCCACAAAAAGUGAGGCCCUGAGCUACUGCACAACUUGCACAGGAAAAGAACCGGCCCUGCAUAGAGGAGGUAGAGCUGGACGGGACAUAGAUUUUGAUGCAGAGCCCGAUGCUUAGAAGGAUAUAGAGACUCGGGCUAAGGCUCAGUCUGACAUUGAAGUGAAGGCUCAGACUACGUUAGAGGUGGCGACACUGACACAAAAGUCAAGUGAAAUGUCUGGUAAAAAUGUACACAUGCGUAUUAUGUUUUUCUAAAAUUCUGGUAAAGUGGUUAUUGGUUAUCCGAUUAUUCAAAAACUUCGGUAAAGCCAUGUUUUUCAUAAUGUUUUAAAAACUUGCUAGGUCUUAUUUAUUUGUUUUUUCUUUACGUAGUAAUGACCUGAGAACGAAAUUGCAUGAUUGCUUAUAGACGGACUGACAGAGCUGCAAAUAGCUCUUGUCGUGUAGGGGAUAAUGAGAAAUAUGAAUCACAUAUCUGGGAGGGUAGAAUAGUCCUCACUUAUUCUCGUAGGAGUAGGAUGGUUGAGAAGUUACGUGCACCCCGUACUCUCCAGCAUUGAGGAGGUAGAGCGUGACGAGGCAUAAAUUUUGAAGUAAAGCCCGAUGCUCAUAAGGAUAUAGAGACUCCUAUUCUUAAUUAAUCGCAUAUGGCGGCAUGCAUCUCUAUCUAGGGAGAGCAUGUGUGGUGGGUCUAGCGUAGCAAGCUCCUUGUCUAAGCCAAGGGUGCGACCUAUGGAGGUAAUCCCUCCUCCAAAUGAAAUGGGCCCUUCUCUACGGUGCAAACCGCUUGCAUGUGGACCAACAUGAAAGGGGUUUCUUCCCAUGCAGCGCUUUGUUUAAUGUCGAUAGCUCGACAAAACUAGUUUAAAUAAAGAGUAAAUAAUCAAUAAAUUUUUAAGAAAUAAUCAAUCAAUAUUCAAAACUAGUUUCAAGGUUUGGAAGGGGGAAAUGGUGUACAAGUUCACUCAGAAUUAGUUCCUUAAACUCAUUAGGUCCCUCUCACCUCACUAAACCUCUAUUAUCUAGCAAGUUAUAUCUACGAAUAGGAGUUAGGUGAGCUACUUGAUUGCGUAGGCCUAAGGCUAAAGCAAUAUGAAUGAAAGUUCCGCCUCUUUGUUUGGUGUAAUUUUUCAAUUUCACAAAAAUAUCCGAUUAAUUAUUUAUUGAAAUAUAUUUGUAUAUUAAGGGUAAUAGAUAGUUUUGGUUUUUGAAAAAUGAAUACAAAAUAUAAUGUUAGAUUGAUAUGACUAGUAAAAUAGUCAAAAUAAAAAAGGGAAGUCAAAAAUUGAAAGAAGAAAAGGAAAUAGGGAACAGAGUUGGAAUAUGGUAUAAAAUUUUGAGCAUUCAUUCUAUAAGAGAAAUAAUCACAAGCAAGUUGAAAAACUAGAUAAUAUUAUUAAUGGCCCUCAUUCUACAACCCCAUGAUGAUGCACUACCCUUACCUGUAUCAGAUCUUCUAUUCAAUUCAACAACUUGUUCCAUCCAUUUACUUCUUCUCAAAUUACCCAAACCAAACAACUCUGAAUCAUACUCUUCUUUAAGCUUUGGAUUCGACAACGUCUUAUAAGCUCCAUUAACUUGUACAAGAUUUGGUUCUGCAUCUAUACAUUGUGUUUUGAUGAUAACAAUGUUGUAUUUGUGUGAGAACAGUUUUGGUACCCUAAUGGUUUGUUAUUGCGUUCCAAAUCCGCUUAUGCGCUGCAAUUAGAAGUUCUGAAAGACGUCAAUAUUGUUGUUGCAAUGUUCUUUCUGCUUCUGUGUUAUUUCAGCCAUCAUAAGCUUUUGAGGAGACUCUUUAUUGUUGCUGCGAUGUUCUCUCAGUUCUUGCUUCUCGACGUGACUCUGAGCACCAAACUUCUGAAGAAUGGAAAACUUCUGAAGUUGGAUUAUGUAGCUGAAGUUUCUGAAGAUCUCAAUACAGACGAUUAAAGUUAUCAAGGUUCUGACUAAGGAUUCUCAAGAUUCUGAAGAUUUGAAGAUACUGAAGAACUCAAGCCAGACUACUGACGCUGUCAAGGUUCUGACCCAAGAUUCUGAAGUUUUUGAAUCUAGCUCUCUACUUCUUCACUUCAUGCUUCAAUCAUCUUUUAUCAGAAGCCAAUGAAUCUGAAGAUAAGUUCAAAUGGGAAUGUGAUCAAAUAGUACAUGGUACAAAUCGAACAAUCUUUCGACUACCUGAUUUCGUGGGCAAGGAUUGUACUAUUCAUCACACCUGUCACUGCUUUUGUGGGCGAAAGGAUAGUACGUGGUAUCAUUCGUUUCCCAUCCAACAAUGGACAGCUGCUCAAGGAACUUUCCCCAUUUUCCCCUUCAACGGUCACAUGCUUUGCUAUAUAAGCAUGCAUUGGAGACUUGAAGAAAAUGCUUAUUUUGCACAAGUAUUUUGACAAGUUAUAUAUCUUUGUGAAAAACUAUCAUUCUUUGUAUACAGUUUUCUUUAAGUAUUUUUUUAUUCAUUUGUGUAAAAAUCUGAUUGUGUAGAAGCAUCUUGUAACACACAAACUAUUAGUCAAACUAUUUAUUUGAUUCCUUAAGGAGGUUAUCCUUGAGAAGACAAAGAAAGUUAUUCUUUGUGAGUCCUUGAGGAGACUAAGGUUUAGUUGGAUCCUUGAGAAGACAAAAACUUGUUAGUGGUAUUUUUGUUUUGGAAAAAAUCUUUUGCUUGUAAAACCCAAUUCAAACCCCCAACUUCUUAUGUUUUUCACACCUUCAGUAGCUGCUCUCACCCCUUUGACAAGUCAAAUUCUUGGAAUUUUGGGACUCUUUUCCACCAAAAUUCUAAAAAUUCCCUUUACUCUUCAUGGAUCAUUUUCCUUUCGAUUUCUUGUCCUUCUCAUUGAAACAAGCUUGCAAAGCAAUCUCCGCCUUUGUCUUAUCAGAAUUUCUCUCCUCCAUCCUUUGCUCAUGAGCCUUUAGAGAGCUUUUCAACUCCUCUUUGUUUAUUGUCGCAGGAUCCUUCGAUUCCUCAAUCGCCAUAACAACAUUGUCAAACCUUGGUGUUAAAGAAUACAAGAUUUUUGCGACAACAUACUGCUUCGUAACGGUUUCUCCACAUGACUUCACUUUAUUCACCAACCGAUUGAUACUCAUUGUGAAAUCAUUGAUUGUCUCCUUUUAUUCCAUUUGAAUCAAUUUGAGUUAAGGCUUGUGAGUUUGUAACCUCACUACAUUUGCCUUAUCAUCCCCUGCAUAGGCCUUCUCUAAGAUCUUCCAUGCUUGCAUUGACGAUUCGCAAUCACCAACUUUCUCAAAGUUGUCACCAUCCACACAUUGAUGGAUCAAAAACAGCGCCUUGAAAUCUUUCUUCUUCUUUUCCUUACAUGUUGCUUGUUAUGCAUCCGUUGCACCAGCGACAAGAGGAUUCACCCCAUUCUUGAUCACUUUAAGAAUAUCUUGGUAGCCAAACAACACUUUCAUUUGCUUGCACAAUUUGUCAUAAUUCUUCACAUCAAUGAUAGGUAGGUUUUCAUGGAUUCUUUUAUUGGAAACAUAAUUCAUGUUGCACACUAGGUGUUUGUGGAUCAGAACCAGACUCUUGAUGCCAAAUAUUGGAACUUUGAACCACAAGGUUGGUGAACAAUGAUGGAGAAAUUUGGAAUGGGUAUAGUGAAAAGGAAAAUUGAGAGAGAGGGAGAGAGAAUAAUAAUUUGCAUUACUUUGGAUGAGAAUGCACCCAACAUCUUUAAACAAGUAUUACAAUAUGAUUGUGAUAAAAAACAAACAAUUGCAUAACAGAAAAAGUGCAAAACUCAGACAUGUAACCAUUAUACCAUUUGGUUAACCGGAUACAACUGACAAAUGAAUUAAACUAGCUUCAGUGGUAACCGGUUAACAUCUGAGAUUAGCCGGAUACAACUUCAAAAUCUUCACUUUUUUGCUUCAUCAGAAGUGCCUAUGACUUUGCUGUAACCGGUUACACCCUUUGUUAACCGAUUACAACACUUGAAAUUGCCAAUAUAACCUUUAUGAGAGUUAUUUUUAUAAAAAACUAUUAAUUUUGAUUGUUGUUGUUGUUUUUCCUCACAUAUCAAAAUAUAUAUAUAUAUUUUGUAAUCUUUCAAUUUCACAAAAAUAUCCAAUUAAUUAUUUAUUGAAAUAUUUUUGUAUAUUAAGGGUAAUAGAUUGUUUUGGUUUUUGAAAAACAAAUAGAAAAUCUAAUGUUAAAUUUAUAUGAAUAGUAAAAUUGUCGAAAUAAAAAAGUGAAAGGAGAAAAGGAAAUAGGGGAUUAGAGAGAUGGGAAAAAGAUCCAAACAUAAAAAGAAGAAAUAAACUUUAUGAGUAGAGUGUUGUGGCGGUUCCAAAGCAUGAGAGGGAUGCUGGGGGUGGUUUUGAGACAGAGUUGGAAUAUGGUGUAAAGUUUGGAGUGUUCAUUCUACAAGAAAAACAAUACAAGAGAAAUAAUCACAAGUUAAUUGAAAAACUAGUUACUAUUAUUCCUGGCCCUCAUUCUAGAACCCCAUGAUGAUGAUGAUGCACCACUCUUACCUGUUUGAGAUUUUCUAUUCAAUUCAACAACUUGUUCCAUCCAUUUACUUCUUCUCAAAUUACCCAAACCAAACAACUCUGAAUCAUACUCUUCUUUAAGCUUUGGAUUCGACAGCGUCUUAUAAGCUUCAUUAACUUGUACAAACAUCUUGGUUGAUUCCUCUUUCUUCAAACCAUCACGACAAACAUCAGGAUGAUACUGAAGAGCCAUUGUUCUAUAUGCUCUUUUUAUAUCAUCUGUUGUGGCUGUAUUGGAACUCAAACAUAGUAUCUUGUACAAGUUUCCAUCACUUUUUGUGGCUCUGCAUGUAACUGAAAACUGUUUUGCACGAGGUUGUGUUUGAUGAUUAUUUGAAAGUGGAAGAUUAUGAUGAUGUUUGUAUGGUUUUGAAAUGUUGAUUAGGCUUGAGCUUGAGUUGAAGGAUAAUAAAACAUCCAUCUUGUUUCUUGUUUUUCUCUAUGUUUUUGAGAAUGAAUGUGGGUGUUCAAUUAUUUAUAGACAGAAGAAUGUUAUUUCAAA
rnacentral:lncRNA from 1 species